CGUCGCUGCCGCACCGCCGCCGGUCGCCGGAAUCCGGAUUUCAACCAAAAUUUCCAGAUUUUCUCCUCUUCCUUCCCUCUUUCCAUUUCUCCAACCAAAAUCAUGAAAUUUAGCCAUUUAAUCCCCCAAAAACCCUAGAACCCGAAGCUAAAAUUGGGGCUUUUGUGAUUUCUUCUUUCCAAGCUCAAAUCAAGGCUAUGGGUUUGACAAGGAUUUGUGGUAAGGAUCUAUCCAUGCAACCUUGUUUCGCAAUUUUUGGUUGUGGUAUUGAUGAUGGACGGAUUUGUAGGUGAAGAAGGCCAUGGAGGAAGCUUAGGCCGUGAGUUUUGAAGAAGAAAGGGAAACACGAUCGUUAAGGAAGCUUAAGCGGAAAGCGUCAGAGCGUGGAAUACGCCGGCAUAUCCAGGUAGGGUGAGCUGUCCCUUCCUUGUUAGAGGCUUUUCAAUAUAUGUGGAAUGUUAUACUAUGAUAAUAUGUUGCCUGCAAGAACGUUUUUGGUUGUUCAUCAGUCGAUGCCUCGUGAUACAUGUGUUUUCAGAACUAAUAAUUGCUAAUUGUGAAAACCGAGGCUAGACUUGCAUGUUGAGAUACUGUACCCUUGUAUGUGUGUACUUGUGACCUGAAAGUGAAUGGGACCUAGACGCGUUGAUUCCUAGGGAUCCCACGGUGUCGAUAACCGUGAACCUCCGGAGGGGGCUGUGCUCCUAUGUUUGUCGGGGAAAGGUAAGUACAGACAGUGAACCAGUCAUAGGAGACUCAGAGCCAGGAAAUGGACACUUUCGCUACUUGUAGUCACAAGGACUACAGAGUAGUUGGUUGGUUCUCUUACUCAGGACGAACCAGAUCGGUCACUGAUUUAUUUACUUUAGCCGGCAGGUAAGUAUCUCGGAGCUCCAAAUUGUGUGAAGCAUACUGCAUAUGCUUUUUGAAAGAAAACAAAUGUUUGUGGUUGCCUCUUUACUUAAAGUAUUUUUCGAUAAACGUGCACAAUAUUAUGUAGUAAAUAUUUUCAAGUAUAUUAUUUUUCAAACCUAGCAUGGUUGGGUCGGCCCCUAUUGGGCAUGCGAGGACGAAAGCUCACCCCUACUAUAGUGUGCAGGUUUCGAGCAUGUGGUCGGGAAGCGUACAGGGGAGGCACAUGGCACGGCUUGGCGCAUUUCUCUUUAGUUUUAUCAAAAGAAGGUUUUGGUCCUUAAUCGGAUUUUGUAGUAGCUUGUUUAUUUACUUUUUAUUUAUUUCCUACUCGUUUACAAAAAUUCUGGGAGACCCGUAACCCUGGGGCGCGUCUCCCUUACUUGUCGUUACUUAGAGAUCAGUUUUAUUUUCCAAAUUGGGCUCCGAUCGCAAGCCCAAAACUCUUAGCCCAUUUCGAAUUCCGCUUUUGAAAA